GACGAACGCUGGCGGCGUGCUUAACACAUGCAAGUCGAACGGUAAGGCCCUUCGGGGUACACGAGUGGCGAACGGGUGAGUAACACGUGGGUGAUCUGCCCUGCACUUCGGGAUAAGCCUGGGAAACUGGGUCUAAUACCGGAUAGGACCACUGCCUGCAUGGGUGGUGGUGGAAAGCUUUUGCGGUGUGGGAUGGGCCCGCGGCCUAUCAGCUUGUUGGUGGGGUGCUGGCCUACCAAGGCGACGACGGGUAGCCGGCCUGAGAGGGUGACCGGCCACACGGGGACUGAGAUACGGCCCAGACUCCUACGGGAGGCAGCAGUGGGGAAUAUUGCACAAUGGGCGCAAGCCUGAUGCAGCGACGCCGCGUGAGGGAUGCCGGCCUUCGGGUUGUAAACCUCUUUCAGCACCGACGAAGCGCAAGUGACGGUAGGUGCAGAAGAAGGACCGGCCAACUACGUGCCAGCCGCCGCAGUAA
rnacentral:rRNA from 1 species